UUCCCACCUCCCCCCUACACACACACACACACACACACACACACACACACACACCCCUACACACCUCCCCCCCCACCGCCACUUUGACAAUAUUUACUUAAGUAUUUUCCCCCACCUCAUUCACACACAUGCUCCCCUACACUGCUUCCCUUAAAUACUUCCAGUAGAAUUUCUCUUUCUUUUUUUUUUCUUUCCUUUUCUUUUCUUUCUUUCUUUCUUUCUUUUUUUUUUUUCUUCUAUCCCCUCAAGAAAGGAAAGAGAAAGUCCAACCGCUACGGCAAUACUUUGAAGCUCUACUUAAAUGAUCGUAUCCUUUCUGGCUUCGAAACUUUUGUACCUAAAAAUCGAGAGAGGCGCUGCAUUUUUUUUUUUUUUUUUUCCCCUUCAGCUGAAACUGUCAAAACUUGGAGAAGGGGAACCUCGGAGGCAGGCAGCAGAGGUGGAGAAUCCCGAAACUCGGUGGAGGUUGGGAAGAUGCUGUGCCUCGAGGAUUAGUUUAAACAGGGGCUAUAAAAGAUGUAACAGAUGCAAACUGUAACACAAGGGCCAUUAACCCUUCCUCUGCCGGGCACACUCAGUCCCCACGCCCCGCACCUAUUGUCUCCUGUGCUCAAAGCUUUGCAGAAAACCUGGAAAUUUUGGCCAGAAAUGGUGAGAAGAAAAAGCAUGAAGAAGCCGCGAAGUGUGGGGGAGAAAAAGGUGGAAGCGAAGAAACAGCUCCCGGAGCAAACUGUACAAAACCUCGCCAAGAGUGUCGGGAGGCAGGACCGUUAUUCCUGCGGAGCAGGAGAGAGAGGAGAGACCCUGAAACACGCGCCACCUAUCUUUGUGGGGAGGGAUAAUUGAAGCGCCCUGAGCGUGAGCAUCAUGUGAAAACGUGAUCGCCAAGUUUCUCUCUGGGAAAGGAUCUGGGAUAGAUUAUACCUUGAAGUCUCCGCAAACGCUUUAGUGGAAGAAAUGAAAUUCCACCUCCCUCCCUUCCUCUCUCCCUCCCUCUCGCCUCCCUCCCUCC